GGAAUCGCAAUUCCCGGCGCGGUUUCCUCAGGUCUGUCACCUCAGACCGGCAGACGGGAGGGAGGAACAACGGAGGAUUGGGGCCGAGCGUCCAGACCGGCGUUACCGUCGGGGCCACCUGCAGGUCACAGUUGUUUGCUCUUUGGUCCCUCGCUGUCGAGGCGCGUCGUGGACGAGCUACUGUCGCCGUCAACCUGGAAAGCGGAGCGUGCUGGUGUGGCGCCGAGCGGGUGAGUUCCGUGGGCAGCUCUCGUGCUGGGCGCCGCGUCGGUCGCUCCGUGCCUGGGAUGUGUCGGGAGGCCGUCGUUGUGUGGCUCUCCUGCCUUGGGUGUUGAAGCCUGUGGCGGAACGCAGCUCACCUUAGAUUUCGCUCAGAGAGCUUGGCGGGAUGACCGAUCGGCCUGGGAGGGGGAGGCGUCGCCGUCCUAACAGGACUGAGACGUAGGACUCAGGGCUUGCCCUGUGCUGGGUAGUUUCCGUGAUCUCGCCGAUUUACUUAGUUUUUCUUUGUUAUUGAGAGGGCCGGCCCCGUGCUCCGUGGGUUGGGAUUAGUGUUGAGAUCGAAGGCUUGAGCCACCCUGACGUCUCAGCUGACACUAUAAAACCUGUGUUUCCUGGUUUGGUUUGUUUUUUUUUUAAAGAUGUCCCCCAUGGGUGGUGUUGUGAGUGCCCUCGGAAGCCAGAAGAGGGCGGUGGAUGCCCUUGAAUUGGAGUUAAAGGUGGUUGUGAACCAUCUGAUGUGGGUGCUGGCUCAUAGGACAUCUCCCUGGCCCUUGAAGGUCCUGCUUGUUUGUUUUUGGUUUACGGUCUCCCUAUGUAGACUAGGUUGGCCCAGGACUCAACAAAUUUCUGCCUACCUCUCCCUCCCAAGUGCUAAGAAUAAAGAUAUACACCAGCACCUGGCUAAGUCUGUGAUUUGUCUUUCAAUGAUUUCAUUCAUGUUUUAUGUGUAUUAGUGUUUUUACCUGCAUGUGUGUCUCAAAAGAGGGCGUUGAAUCCCCUGUGGCUGGAAACCAUACCUGGUUCUCUGCCAGAGCAGCAAGUCCUGCUGUCCCCUAAAGUGCAUGUUUUUAACAGGGCGAGGUGGCACUUUUUCGUAUAAGGCUGCUUCUCUUGAAAGCAGUCCUGGCUUCUAAGGCUGGCAUCCAAAUAAUUCUGGAAGAAGAACUGACAGUCUGUGCACCCUAACAACCCUGGACAGAAACCAGCAUGUCUCAGGCCAGCAAAUAGUGAAAGUGAGUGCCGCCUGUCUCGGGCUUCCCGUCCUCCUCCCAAUGCUCCCAUUGCACCGCUGGGUGUGGAAAGGGAAGGCUCAGUGCAGGUCGGAGCAUGCUUGAUUUAACUGAUGAAGUGGCUAGUUCUCGCUUUUUCCUGGACCAGGUCCUCAGGACUCCUGGGAACAAUCUGCAUGAGGUGGAAACAGCACAGGGGCAGCGCUUCCUGGUGAGCAUGCCCUCCAAAUACCGCAAGAACAUCUGGAUCAAGAGAGGUUAGAAGCAUCCCUUCACAGUACGGAACCAUGGCCUUGACUUCCUUCUCCAUAACAGGAGUGGCUUUAUCCUUUAUCAUCUACAGGGGAUUUCCUCAUUGUUGACCCUAUUGAAGAAGGAGAAAAAGUGAAGGCUGAGAUCUCUUUUGUGCUCUGCAAGAACCAUGUCCGCUCUCUACAGAAGGAGGGUCACUGGUAGGAUGGUCUUCCUCAGCCACCCUCUGGCUUCUGGGGAGAGAUUAUCCUAGCUAGGGAGGGGGAGGGGAAGGAGAAAGUUACGCCGUCCCAGGAGGAACAUUUGGAAACAGCUGUUUCACUGAGAGGGUUCUCUCUGCUCUCUAACCUGGCUCUUCUCUUGUCACAGGCCUGAGGCCUUCUCUGAGGUAGCUGAGAAACAGAACAAUAUGAACAGGUAAGGAGCAAGCCCCCAGCCCAGGGAAGACAAGAAAUGCAAGUUCACACCUUGGUGCCUCAAGGAGAAAAGGGAGCCUGCUUUUCUUGUUUAGAGAACUGCGGCACAUAUAAUAGAAUGGGUGGUUAUGAGUGUGGCAGGAAGGUCACAUGUUAAAAUGCUGGCUUGGCUACUUAAUAAGCAAGUGACUUUAGAUGCAUUUUUUAGUAUCGUAAGAAGGUUCUUAAUUGGAUGUGAUUGGACAUGCCCGCAGUUCUAGAUCAGGAGUUUGAGACCAGCAUGGUCUACUCAUAAUAGGUUCAAAGCCAACCUAGGGUACAGGAAACCUUUUCUCAAAAACAAACAAGAGUUCAUCUAAGACAGAGUUAUACAGAGAGUAAGAUUGCUUGGUGCAGCAGUCCUCACCUGUGGGUCGAGACCCCUUUGAAGGUCACGUGUCAGAUACUUAAAUUAUUAUUCAUAAAAGUAGCAAAAUUACAGUUAUAAAGGAGCAAUGGAAUAAUUUUAUGGUUGGGGUCACCACGUGAAGAGCUGUUAAAGGGUCACAGCAUUAGGAAGCUGUCGGUACAUCAGCUGUUAGGAAAUGUGAGCAUGCUAGGUGUCAGUGUGCUAGUAGGGUUGCUUCCUCACUGAACCCGAUGAAGGGCUGCCUGGAGGCAAUCCUGAGUCUGUUUCUUUGACUGGAUUUCCCUAUUUGCUGUUUCUCUAGAAAAAGCCUCUCCCAGAAUUUUUUUUUUUUUGGCUUCUGUUUGUUCUUGAGUCAGGAUCUCAUGUGGCCUAGACUGUCCUCAGACUCAACCAUCUUCUGCUUUAGCCAUCUAAAUACUAGGCAUGUGCCACUACAUAAGGGUUUGGGGCUCUUGGAUUUUCAGAAACCUGUCAGAUUCUGAUUGUAUAGUUGAUGGUCCUGGUUUUGGGGCUCUAAAUGAAUAGAUCUGGUUUCCCCGGAAGAUGUCACCUAUUCUUUCCUCCUGUUCCCACAGAGAGAGUCAACCAGAACUCCCUGCUGAGCCACAGCUGUCAGGAGAAGGGUCAAGUUCUGAAGAUGAUUCUGACCUCUUUGUCAACACCAAUCACAGACAGUAUCAUGAGAGUGAGGAGGAGAGUGAAGAAGACGAGGAGGAGGAGGAGGAGGCAGCCUGAGCCCCAGGACCCACUUCUCUAUUUGCUCAGGGACUACCCCUUGGCUUUUCUGGGCUUGGACAUCCCCAGGGUGCCCUGCAGAUCUUUUCCUUUGGAUGAGGACAAAGAUGGCCCCUUUCUGAACUGACCUAAAAGAAUUAAACCCCUGGUGGGUGAUGACUU
rnacentral:lncRNA from 1 species